rnacentral:rRNA from 1 species
GAGUUUGAUCAUGGCUCAGAACGAACGCUGGCGGCAUGCCUAACACAUGCAAGUCGAACGGGAUCCCAGGGCUUCGGCCUGGUGAGAGUGGCGGACGGGUGAGUAACGCGUGGGAACCUGCCCAAUGGUCUGGGAUAACCGCGGGAAACUGCGGCUAAUACCGGAUAAGCCCGAGAGGGGAAAGAUUUAUCGCCGAUGGAGGGGCCCGCGUCCGAUUAGGUAGUUGGUGAGGUAACGGCUCACCAAGCCGACGAUCGGUAGCUGGUCUGAGAGGAUGAUCAGCCACACUGGGACUGAGAUACGGCCCAGACUCCUACGGGAGGCAGCAGUGGGGAAUAUUGGACAAUGGGGGCAACCCUGAUCCAGCAAUGCCGCGUGAGUGAUGAAGGCCUUAGGGUUGUAAAGCUCUUUUGGCGGGACGAUGAUGACGGUACCCGCAGAAUAAGCCCCGGCUAACUUCGUGCCAGCCGCCGCUGUAAG